rnacentral:rRNA from 1 species
GUGGGGAAUAUUGGACAAUGGGCGAAAGCCUGAUCCAGCCAUGCCGCGUGUGUGAAGAAGGUCUUCGGAUUGUAAAGCACUUGAAGUUGGGAGGAAGGGCAGUAAGUUAAUACCUUGCUGUUUUGACGUUACCGACAGAAUAAGCACCGGCUAACUUCGUGCCAGCAGCCGCGGUAAUACGAAGGGUGCAAGCGUUAAUCGGAAUUACUGGGCGUAAAGCGCGCGUAGGUGGUUUUGUAAGUUGGAGGUGAAAUCCCCGGGCUCAACCUGGGAACUGCCUCCAGAACUGCAUGACUAGAGUACGGUAGAGGGUAGUGGAAUUUCCUGUGUAGCGGUGAAAUGCGUAGAUAUAGGAAGGAACACCAGUGGCGAAGGCGACUACCUGGACUGAUACUGACACUGAGGUGCGAAAGCGUGGGGAGCAAACAGGAUUAGAAACCCUUGUAGUC